CCAAAAGGCAACAUAGCGCUAACUGGCACAGCACGACAGCUGGAAGUUGCUAAACAUGCAAAGUCAAAACCACGCAAGGAUUGCUCAGAGGUAGACCGUGGGAGAGGAAGUGCCAGAAGAGUAGCAACAGAUGUAUUACAAUUUAGAUUAAGAUAGUCAUUUUGUUUGAGUUUAUUUUCAGGCAAGGAAAACAAGGAAAAUACGAUGAUUAUAUAUUUGCUAUUGGUUGAGAAAAGAAACACAGUUCUGAAAAAGGACCUUAUUUGCUUUUAUUAAAAUACAUAAUUUUGGGGCGCCUCGGUGGCUCAGUCGGUUAAGUGUCUAAGUCUUGAUUUCUGCUCAGGUCAUGAUCUCAUGGUUUGUGGGUUCGAUCUCCACCUUGGGAUCUGUGCUGACAGCACUGAGCCUGCUUGGGAUUUUUUCUCUCUCUCUCUCUCUUCUUUCUCUCCCAGCUCCUUUCCUGCUUGCACUUUUAUUCUUUCUCGAAAAUAAAUAAACUUUAGAUAUAUAUAGAACUUUAAUGGCAGAAACAGGUGGAGCACUGCCUCAACACGGAUCUGACAAGAUCAAAGCGGCAGGAGAAUGGACAGUGAGGUGCAGAGAGACGGAAGGAUCUUGGAUUUGAUUGACGAAUCUUGGCGAGAGGACAAGCUGUGUAGGAAGAAUACUGCUGAAUGGGCUUCCUGAUCUGGAAGAGGACGAGGGUGGCACCAUGGAAUCUGUUAAAAGAACCAGAAGUGACAUGGAUUCACUGGCCUUAGAGUACUUCCCAGAGAAUGUUCCCCCUACAGGAAGAGCUGGCUCUUUUUUCGUGGACGGAUUUUUAAAAAUUACAAAGAUACGAAGUGUUUUCUUUCAGUCUCCUAAUGCAGAUCAUUAAGUGACGAGUCUAUACUCAAAAAAGGACACUCAGUUUGUGGCAGCAAAGUGCAAAUGUGAAAAUACUCACUGGAAUGAGAAACUGAUGGAGAUUUCUCAAGAAUGCAAAAUACUUAGUUAGCCCUUUGAACUGGAGUUCUUUAUUCACUAGCUUGUGUUUGAAGGUGACUGAUUAUAAACGUUGACCUUUAACUCUGAUUUUGCUUUACUGUCAGAGUUUAACAUUUCCCAACUUCUUAUAUGUGUCCUGUGACACAGGCGAUUGAAGACACAGAGGGAAGGACAAAGAAAGAGGAAGGCAGGCAUGAGGGGAUGGUUAACUUCCCACGUGCCCCCCCUCUGAGAAGCAUUCUGAGCGGCUGUGUUUAGCGCCCGCAAGUACAAUGGGUGUUGAGAUAAUCCUUUCACUGAUUCCUGGGAUUCCUAAUUGUCACACAUACAGGAAAGAACAGAUGAAAUGUUUCUGCCUUUUUUCCUUCCUGUCAUUGCCAUCAACCAACAAACAUGCAUUAUGGAUUACUCAUGGGGUUCAUUGAACAGUGGGACAAAGGAAUUCUGAUGAAAGAAAAUCAUGGUGUCUGUUCCAAAGAGUUUCCUGCUGAAGCACUGAGAUACUGUGUUCAAGCUACCACUUGAUGUUCCUUGUCAUUUGGGUGUCCAGGCGAUGGUGGUCCUCCACCUGAUUUGCUGACUGGCUUCUCCAAUAAACAAAUUGCGUCAGACACACUUCAAAACUGGGACUGCCCUGAAAUACAGCAGCCAUCCUGGCUGUCAUAGAAUCAGCUCACUCUGUAUUACUUCUCAUGCUAGGGGCCCAAAGGACUGUUGUCUUUUGUGCCAGUAAGUAUUAACACUUAUUUUUCUCACCUGUGCUUUUGUUUUAUUUGGGAAUGUUCUCUGAGGAACUCACUGAAUUCUUUAUCUGAAAUGGCAAUCUUUGAUCAAAAUUGUCUUCACAAUUAUCAUCGCCUAAGCUAUUUGGAAGAAGUCGGUUAGGAAUGCACACGGAGAUACUUUUCUCAUGGCCUACUGUGAAGUUUGAACUCACAGCCCCGAGAUCAAGAGUUGCACGCUCUACAAACAUAGCCAGCCAGGUGCCCCUGAACACGUCUAUUUUUGAUGAACAAAUACCUAAAAAUGGAGCUGCUGGAUGGGUGCAUCUGUUCAGCAGUUUUCCACAGUGGUUGCACCGGAUGGUAGCCUCCCACCCUAUCCCUGCACAACGUGCAAGUUCUUUACAAUAUUGCUAUUUUUUGUUUGUUUGUUUGUUUGUUUACGUAUGUAUGUAUGUAUGUAUGUAUUUGCGAUAUUCUGCUGGGUAUGAAAUGGUAUCACAUUGUGCUUUUAACUUGCACUUCCCUCCUGAUUACUGAGGUUGAACUACUUUUCCUGUAUUUGUUGACCAUUUGGAUAUCAUCUUAAUGUGAAGUGCUAUGGCAAGUCUUUUAUCCAUGCUCCGUGGUCUACCUAGUUCUGAUUAUUUGUAAGAGUUUUUAACAUUAUCUGUAAAAAAAGUCUCUGAUGAGUUAGGUAUUGUAAAAUUCUGUAUUCCUGCUCUGGUAGCUUACCUUUUAUUUAAUGUUCAUAAGGUGCUUGAUAAGCAUACUUUCCUACGUUUUUGUGGCUAUAAUUUUUCAAGUUUUUUUUUUUUUUACUUUAAGUAGUGGUUUGGUUCUUUAAGAAAAUUUUUUUUCAGUUUGAUUACUGGGGUUUUUUGGGGGGUAUGUUUUGUGUGUUUUUUUGUUGUUUUAUUUUUUUGUUUUAUGGUGGGGGUUGUAUCCUGUUUAAGAAAUCUAUCCUGGUGGCCUUAGUCCCUCUCUUCAUCCCUUGCCUGGCAUCCUCAGCCCCUCUCUCUACUGCCUGAUGGCUCAUGCGGCCAAGCCCACUAAGUGCACAGGCAAGGCGAGUGCUUAUCCACUCUGCUGUGCUCAGGUAGGCGUCCAAGGCAGAAUGCUCAAGGCCCUUGGGUCACUCUGUAUGCUUAGCUACUUGAUCUAGCCUGCUUCAACUAGUGUUCCAGCCAUAUGCCAAAUCUUUUUCUAGAAUUUAGUUGUUUCGACCUCAACAAUCAUAACAUUCUUUGACAGUCUGCUGUGUGCCAGGUGCUGAGGGUACAGCAGGGAAUAGACAAACACACACUCCACAAAAGCUGAUAGUCCAGGGCAGGAGCCAGCUACUAAACAUUAAUCCUAUCAACAAAAUGUUCAAAUAACCACUGUAUUGUAAAGAGAGGGAGCGUCCUGUGUCAGGGAUGGAGCGGCAUGGCCUGGAAGGAAGGGCCAUUGGAAUCAUCGGCAUCCCCCAUACUGAAGGACAUUUUAUUUUCCAGAGAUUAUUCUUACCACGUAAAAUGCCGUUUCAUAGUCCAGCGAUUCUCUUCCCUAACGUCUGCUUGUAUUCAAAAAUGUUCUGUCAGGUUAUGGCUUUAGAAGCUUAACAAAACAUGGCAGUAAGUGGAAAGUAUGCCGUUCCCUUCUCUAGGCCCAGCUUUUAAUUAUUUUGGUCCUGGUGAGGUAGUGGAACUGGAAGCAAGCCGAGUGGCGGGUCAGCCAGCCAGACCACUUAGCACCUGAAAAGUCCCCCAAGACGAAA